UGGGGAAUUUUGGACAAUGGGCGAAAGCCUGAUCCAGCAAUGCCGCGUGUGUGAAGAAGGCCUUCGGGUUGUAAAGCACUUUUGUCCGGAAAGAAAUCCUUGGCUCUAAUACAGUCGGGGGAUGACGUACCGGAAGAAUAAGCACCGGCUAACUACGUGCCAGCAGCCGCGGUAAUACGUAGGGUGCAAGCGUUAAUCGGAAUUACUGGGCGUAAAGCGUGCGCAGGCGGUUUGCUAAGACCGAUGUGAAAUCCCCGGGCUCAACCUGGGAACUGCAUUGGUGACUGGCAGGCUAGAGUAUGGCAGAGGGGGGUAGAAUUCCACGUGUAGCAGUGAAAUGCGUAGAGAUGUGGAGGAAUACCGAUGGCGAAGGCAGCCCCCCUGGGCCAAAUACUGACGCUCAUGCACGAAAGCGUGGGGAGCAAACAGGAUUAGAUACCCUGGUAGUCCACGCCCUAAACGAUGUCAACUAGUUGUUGGGGAUUCAUUUUCUUAGUAACGUAGCUAACGCGUGAAGUUGACCGCCUGGGGAGUACGGUCGCAAGAUUAAAACUCAAGGAAUUGACGGGGUCAUAGCUGUUUCC
rnacentral:rRNA from 1 species